rnacentral:rRNA from 1 species
GGGGGCAAGCGUUGUUCGGAAUUAUUGGGCGUAAAGGGUGCGUAGGCGGCGCGGUAAGUCGGGUGUGAAAUCUCGGAGCUUAACUCCGAAACUGCAUUCGAUACUGCCGUGCUUGAGGACUGGAGAGGAGACUGGAAUUUACGGUGUAGCGGUGAAAUGCGUAGAUAUCGUAAGGAAGACCAGUGGCGAAGGCGGGUCUCUGGACAGUUCCUGACGCUGAGGCACGAAGGUCAGGGGAGCAAACGGG